CUACGGGUUGCUGCAGUGGGGAAUAUUGCACAAUGGGCGCAAGCCUGAUGCAGCCAUGCCGCGUGUAUGAAGAAGGCCUUCGGGUUGUAAAGUACUUUCAGCGGGGAGGAAGGGAGUAAAGUUAAUACCUUUGCUCAUUGACGUUACCCGCAGAAGAAGCACCGGCUAACUCCGUGCCAGCAGCCGCGGUAAUACGGAGGGUGUAAGCGUUAAUCGGAAUUACUGGGCGUAAAGCGCACGCAGGCGGUUUGUUAAGUCAGAUGUGAAAUCCCCGGGCUCAACCUGGGAACUGCAUCUGAUACUGGCAAGCUUGAGUCUCGUAGAGGGGGGUAGAAUUCCAGGUGUAGCGGUGAAAUGCGUAGAGAUCUGGAGGAAUACCGGUGGCGAAGGCGGCCCCCUGGACGAAGACUGACGCUCAGGUGCGAAAGCGUGAGGAGCAAACAGGAUUAGAUACCCUAGUAGUC
rnacentral:rRNA from 1 species